GCAGCCGCGGUAAUUCCAGCUCCAAUAGCGUAUAUUAAAGUUGUUGCGGUUAAAAAGCUCGUAGUUGGAUCUCAGUUCCGGGCCGACGGUGCGCCUCCGGCGAUUACUGUCGGUCCGAACAGCUAGUUGGCUUGCACGGGGUGCUCUUUACCGAGUGUCCCGCGUGGCCGGCAUGUUUACUUUGAAAAAAUUAGAGUGCUCAAAGCAGGCUAAUGCCUGAACAGUUGUGCAUGGAAUGAUGGAAUAGGACCUCGGUUCUAUUUUGUUGGUUUUCGGAACCCGAGGUAAUGAUUAAUAGAGACGGACGGGGGCAUUCGUAUUGCGACGCUAGAGGUGAAAUUCUUGGACCGUCGCAAGACGAACUACUGCGAAAGCAUUUGCCCAGAACGUUCUCAUUAAUCAAGAA
rnacentral:rRNA from 1 species